rnacentral:rRNA from 1 species
CAAAAAAAAAAAAAAAAAAAAGAAGAUAGAGUUGAUCCGAUCCGGUAGUAGGCAAGCGAUGGGGUGACGCAGGAGGGUAGUCCCGCCAGUGAAUGGUAGUACUGGUGUAAGCCCGUAGCCCGACAUCUAGGCAAAUCCGGAUGUCAUCAGGGUGAGAGGUGACGCGUAGCCGAUUGAGGCGAAGUAGGAUGAUCCCAAGCUGCCGAGAAAAGCCUCUAGCGAGUGCUGUUGUGGCCCGUACCCUAAACCGCCACAGGUGGUCAGGUAGAGAAUACCAAGGGAUCGAGUGAACUGUGGUUAAGGAACUCGGCAAAAUACCUCCGUAACUUCGGGAGAAGGAGGGCCGUCUGGUUUGAAGCCCUUCGCGGGCUAGGGCUGGGCGGCCGCAGAGACCAGGCCCAAGCGACUGUUUACUAAAAACACAGGUCCGUGCGAAGUCGCAAGACGAUGUAUACGGACUGACGCCUGCCCGGUGCUGGAACGUUAAGAGGACCUGUUAGUCCCUUCGGGGGCGAAGCGGAGAAUUUAAGCGCCAGUAAACGGCGGUGGUAACUAUAACCAUCCUAAGGUAGCGAAAUUCCUUGUCGGGUAAGUUCCGACCUGCACGAAUGGCGUAACGACUUGGGCGCUGUCUCGACCACAGACUCGGCGAAAUUGCACUACGAGUAAAGAUGCUCGUUACGCGCGGCAGGACGGAAAGACCCCGGGACCUUUACUAUAGCUUGGUAUUGGUGCUCGGUUCGGCUUGUGUAGGAUAGGUGGGAGACUGUGAAGCGGCCACCAGUGGUUGUGGAGUCAUUGUUGAAAUACCACUCUGGUCGAAUUGGGUGUCUCAACCUCGGGCCAUGAUCUGGUUCAGGGACAGUGCCUGGUGGGUAGUUUAACUGGGGCGGUCGCCUCCCAAAAUGUAACGGAGGCGCCCAAAGGUUCCCUCAGCCUGGUUGGCAAUCAGGUGUUGAGUGUAAGUGCACAAGGGAGCUUGACUGUGAGACUGACAGGUCGAGCAGGGACGAAAGUCGGGACUAGUGAUCCGGCACCACCUGGUGGAAGGGGUGUCGCUCAACGGAUAAAAGGUACCCCGGGGAUAACAGGCUGAUCUUGCCCAAGAGUCCAUAUCGACGGCAUGGUUUGGCACCUCGAUGUCGGCUCGUCGCACCCUGGGGCUGGAGUAGGUCCCAAGGGUUGGGCUGUUCGCCCAUUAAAGCGGUACGCGAGCUGGGUUUAGAACGUCGUGAGACAGUUCGGUCCCUAUCCGCCGCGCGCGCAGGAGACUUGAGGAAGGCUGUCCCUAGUACGAGAGGACCGGGACGGACGAACCUCUGGUGUGCCAGUUGUCCCGCCAGGGGCACGGCUGGUUGGCUAUGUUCGGAAGGGAUAACCGCUGAAGGCAUCUAAGCGGGAAGCUCGUUCCAAGAUGAGGUCUCCCACCACCUUGCGUGGUUAAGGCCCCCAGCAGACCACUGGGUUGAUAGGCCAGAGAUGGAAGCCCUGUGAGGGGUGGAGUUGACUGGUACUAAUAGGCCGAGGGCUUG